AUGGAUAGUCUGACUGUUUUUUUUAACAGAGCUGUUUUUUUGUGUGUGGAGAUCUGGCAACAUAGUUCAGUAUUCACGUCUGCUUCACCACACUACUGUCUGCAUGGGAUAAAAAGGUGUGAGAAUGAUGUUCAGGUAGUGGCUAACGGAAGUCCUCACUCUGUUGUAUAUGUGGCGAUGGUGCUCACCUGCAUUGCUCUGGUUUGUAAGUAUUCAGGACAUCAGCAGACUCCUCGGUCUGCUUUUGGACAAUUUCACAGGGAUUUUGCCUCUCCAUGGAUCCCACCAUGUCUCUUAAGCAUUUGCUACAGAACUAUGCAAGAGCUGUUCCAUCAAAGGUAGGCUCCUUUGAUGAACAGAAAGUUUUUUUUUUUUUUAUUAUUUAUUUUAUUUUGUAUCUGUGUAAAAUGCACUUUUGAUCAGUUUAAUGCAUUGUUGCUGAAUAAAAGUAUUCAUUUAUAAAAAUAUAAAAAUUAACCCCAAAACCCCAUUUACCCAUCACUGGCCCCAAAACUUUGAACGGUAGUGUAUAUUAAACAUAUUUAAAAGACUACAUAACUAACUGUAUAACUUACCUAGUAAUGUUUAUUAAUGUGCACUGUCCUUCCUUAACUUAUAAAAUAAUUACAAAAAUAUCUGAUAAAUAUCUACUUGAACCAUUUAAGGAAUUUUUACAUGCAUGCAUUUGGCAGAAAUUUUGAUCCAAAGUGACUUAGUUUUACUGUACUAUGAAGUGUAUUCAGGGUAUACAUUUUAUGCUUUUCCUCGUAUAUUAUAUUUUUCGAUGUUCCACUCAGCAAGCACCAAGUAGCAUGGAAGCAUUGUAGAUUUAAAGUAAUAAGCAGAAAUUUUAUUCGCCCAUAACCACAGGGUUAAGAAUAAGAAUAAAGCUGCCAGUUGGCAAAAUAAAGCUGUUUAAUUCACAUUGCAUUGACUAUCCUUCUGCAUGAAGAUCCAGGUCAUAUUUACUGUUGUCAUUUCUUAUUAGUUCACUCCGUGAUUUGAGUAAACACUUUAUUACUCUGAAGAUUGAACUCGCAAAUGAAUGUCAUAAAUUAUAAUAGUUAAUCGCAUUUGUUUCUCGCAUAAUUCAUUCAUGCAAAUAACACGCUAUUGCGAGGCAAAUAAAUGUUUGCACAAAAAUACACUGUUUAAGUGGUAUGUGUAAUUACAUCAAACAAAUAAAAUAAAAUGAUUACCAAAUUUCUUGUUAUAGCAGUGACAAUUGAUAAAACAAAUAUGUUAAAAAGCUUUUUUUACUUUAUUUAUUUUUAUAUAUUUUCUCAUGUGUAUGUACUUAUUAGGAUCUCUUUUUUUCAUUCAUUUACAUUAAGCUUAUGAAUAGACUAUAUGUUGUGUACAUAUAAUAAUUACCAUGUAGCUUCAACAACAUGGGUUUAUGCCCCUGACCAGCACAGGUUAACAAGGUAACAGACUUGCCAAAUGUAUUUUAUCAUCACAUCAUGUCAUAGAGGAUAUGUGCUCAAAAGCAUUUGACUGUAGCUUCAACAGGACGGGUUUAUGGGGGGUGUAAUUUUCACGCCCUUACACUUCUUAAAAUUACACCCCCCUGACCAGCAUGGGCUAACAAUGUCACAGACUCACCAAAUUUAUUUUAUCAUCACGUCAUGUCAUGGAGGAUGUGUGCAAAAAAGAAUUUGAUUGUAGCUUCAACAGGGCAGGUUUAAACGGGGGGUAUAAUUUUCACACCCUUACACUUCUUAAAAAUACUCACCCCUGACCAGCGCAGGUAAACAAGGUCUUAUGAUUUAUAUUAUCUGGGAACUGUACAACCUGUCAGCUGGUCAAAACCUGCACAAUCCAAACAUUAUAGUAAGUAUAGGUUUAUCCUUCCUUUAAACAUCAGAUUACAUUUCAUGUAUCUUUACAGUAAAAUACUGUUGAAUAUACAAUAUUAGGAAGUGUAAAAGAACAAAUCAUUGUAUAAUCUACAGUAAAAACCCAUACAUUGACUUACAUUUACAUUAAGUCAUUUAGCAGAUACUUUUAUUCUAACCGACUUACAAAUGAGGACAAUGGAAGCGUUAAUUAUUAUAUAAUUAAUAAAAAGAAAACAGAUAGAAUAGAAAAAGAAUAGAGAAAACUAGUGUUAAGAGGCCUUUUUGUUAGUUGUAUAAUGAAUAAAAAUAAAAGGAAUAGAUAGAAUAGAAAAAAAAUAGAGAAGUUAUAGUGUAAGAUGCCUCUUUGGGAUGGCACAAUAAAGCAACAUUCACUUGCAGAAUGCAAGAGGGCACAUAAGUCUGAAGUAAUCAAUUUAAGUAAAGAGGUGCAGAGCCAGUGUUGGUUUUGUAGACAAGCAUUAAUCCCUUGAAUUUUAUACGAGUAGCUAUUGGAAGCCAGUGCAAAUUGAUAAACAGAGGUUCGACGUGUAUUCUUUUUGUCUCAUUAAAAAUGUAUCUUGCUGCUGCGGUCUGCAUUAAUUGUAAAUGUUUGAUAGGCUGGUUGGCUGGAAGACCUGCCAAGAGGGCAUUGCACUAGUCCACCCUGGACAGAACAAGAGCUUGAACAAGGAGUUGUGCAGCAUGCUCCGAAAGAAAGGGCCUGAUCUUCUUAAUGUUGAAUAAAGCGAAUCUGCAGGAGCGGACAGUUUUAGCAAUGUGAUCUGAGAAAGUAAGCUGAUCAUCAAUCAUAACUCCAAGGUUUCUGGCUGUUUUUUAAGAAGUUAUGGUUCAUGUGCCUAACUUCAUGGUGAAAUUGUAAUGAAACGAUGGGUUUGCUGGAACCACAAGCAGUUCUGUCUUGGCAAGGUUGAGUUGAAGAUGAUGGUCCUUCCUCCAGCAAGAAAUGCCUGUUAGACAAGCUGAGAUGUGAGCAGCUAUCGUCAGAUCAUCAGGAUGGAAUGAGAAGUAGAGUUGACUCAUAAGCAUAGAAGUGAUAUGAAAAGUCAUGUUUCUGAAUGACAGGGCCUAGUGAUGCCAUGUAGACAGAGAAGUGGUCGAAGACCUGAGCCCUGUGGCACCCAGUUAAAUGUUGCGAUUUGGACACCUCACCUCUCCAAGAUAUCUUAAAGGACCUAUCUGAGAGAUAAGACUCAAACCACUGGAGUGUGGUUCCCGAGAUGCACUUUGCCAAUAGGUUGACAGGAUGAUCUGGUUGUUAACCGUGUCAAAAGCAGCGGACAGAUCCAGCUAAAUAAACACUGAAAAUUCAGAAUCUGCUCUUGCCAAUCUUAGAGUUUCAAGGCAGUCUCAGUUGAAUGUUCGCUUCUGAAACCAGACUGGUUAAUACCAAGGAGGUUGUUCUGUGUGAGAAAGGCAGAGACUUGGUUGAACACAGUGCGUUCAAGUGUUUUUUUUUUCAAUGAAAGGAAGAAGGGAAACUGUUCUGUUGUUCUCUAAAUGAGAUGGGUUAAGAGUGGGUUUAUUUAUUAGUGGGGUUAUACGAGCCUGUCUAAAUGCCAAGGGAAAAACACUAGUGUGAAGGGAUGUGUUUGAGUGUAGGUACAACCAACGGCAGGAGAAAUGGCUUGAAGGAGAUGAGAUCAAACGGACAAGUAGUAGGAUGAUUCGAAAGGAUGAGAUUGGAGACCUCUGCCUCAGAGAGUGAAGAGAAGGAUGUGAAUGAGUGUAUGUUUGCUGUUCAGAUGCGCUUGACAGUUUGUGGGGUGGAAAAUUGUGCACUGAUGGUUCUCAUUUUAUUUAAUUAAAGUCGUUAGCUGUUAGAGUUGAUAGGAGGAGAAGGAGGACAAAGGAGGGAGGAAAAUGUUUUAAAGAGCAUGGCGAGAGUUAGAAAAAUUGUUAACUUUAUUAUGAUAGUAUGUUGUUUUAGCAGUGGAGACAAUACAGAGAAGGAAGAGAGGAAUAACUGAUAUACAUUUAUUUAUUUGUGCCAUACCCUUUCAGCAGCCCCAAGCUUAGAACAAUGUCAGACAGCCAAGGGGCAGAAGGGGUGGUAUGAGCUGGCCUGGAAGACAAGGGGAUAAUUAUGUAUAAAGAAAUAGGCUAUAUUUUGCGUUGGAUCAGUUACCUGUGGCAGCAGUGUGCAGCAGACACAUCCACCUAAACGGUUUAAAUAUAUCUCUUAUCCUGCCCGAAAAUACCAUAAACAUUGCAGGUAACAGCUGAAGUAAAAAAGGAAUUUGUAUACACACAACAUAGAAAGAUUUUUUUGACUGUUUUGCUUCAAAUUGGGUGAUUUUUAGAUCAGUGGUUUGCAUGUGACUCAAUGAUGCUCUCUGUCGGUAGGGAUUAAUAAAAUGGCAGCUCAACACAGUGUGUGUGUGUGUGUGUGCGUGUGUGUGCGUGUGUGUGUGUGUGUGUGUGUGCGCGCGUGUGCGUGUGUGUAUAUAUAUAUAUAUAUAUAUAUAUAUAUAUAUAUAUAUAUAUAUAUAUAUAUAUAUAUAUAUAUAUAUAUGAUAGCCUGAAUGCACUGUAAGUCGCUUUGGAUAAAAGCGUCUGCUAAAUGCAUAAAUUUAAAUGUUAUAUAUAUAUAUAUAUUCCCAGAAAGUCUGGGUCAGGAUAAUUUGCUAGAGUGUGACUAAAUGCAACAUGAAUACACUUGUGAGUAGACUAGCGAAUGAGUAGAGUAAGUUUAAUGGCACUUGUCAGCAUCCGCCUUUUCCAAGACAAAAGGCUUUAAAAAAAAAUGCUUUUUUUUAGUUUUGUUCAACAAAAAUACUCGAUAACAGUGUAAUGUACUAUACAUGUUUUCCUCACACUCUGGGUUUCAUAAAAAUGUUAAAAUGGCACCUGCCCGAGGUCUAUUUAAUACCAUUUUAUUAGGGUCAUUGGCCCUUUAAAUCGGUGCGGAAGUGCUUUACUGGUAUAUAAAACGUCACCUACAAUGUCAAACGACGAAUCACUUGCACAAGGCAGAGUGCCUGCCCUUCGGUUGCCGCGACUGGUAAUUUCCAGUUCGUUGUCAUUCUCUGUCAUCCGACAUAAGCUGAUAUCCGUCUAGUCGGCGGACUGUUCGUAGAUAGGUGAAGAUCAAAUGCUAUUUUAGGACGGACCGAGAACAAGAAACAAGACCGAGAGUAA
rnacentral:lncRNA from 1 species